rnacentral:rRNA from 1 species
AUUGAACGCUGGCGGCAGGCUUAACACAUGCAAGUCGAACGAGUGGCGGACGGGUGAGUAAUGCUUGGGAAUCUAGCUUAUGGAGGGGGAUAACUACGGGAAACUGUAGCUAAUACCGCGUACCAUAGGAUGAGCCCAAGUGGGAUUAGGUAGUUGGUGAGGUCAAGGCUCACCAAGCCGACGAUCUCUAGCUGGUCUGAGAGGAUGAACAGUCACACGGGGACUGAGACACUGCCCAGACUCCUACGGGAGGCAGCAGUGGGGAAUAUUGCGCAAUGGGGGCAACCCUGAUGAAGCCAUGCCGCGUGUAUGAAGAAGGCCUGCGGGUUGUAAAGUACUUUCAGGCGGGAGGCGUUACCGACAGAAGAAGCACCGGCUAACUCCGUGCAAGCCGCCGCGGUAAUAC